AUUGAACGCUGGCGGCAGGCCUAACACAUGCAAGUCGGACGGUAGCACAGAGGAGCUUGCUCCUCGGGUGACGAGUGGCGGACGGGUGAGUAAUGUCUGGGAAACUGCCCGAUGGAGGGGGAUAACUACUGGAAACGGUAGCUAAUACCGCAUAACGUCGCAAGGCCAAAGUGGGGGACCUUCGGGCCUCACACCAUCGGAUGUGCCCAGAUGGGAUUAGCUGGUAGGCGGGGUAACGGCCCACCUAGGCGCAGAUCCCUAGCUGGUCUGGGAGGGUGACCAGCCACACUGGAACUGCGACACGGUCCAGGCUCCUACGGGAGGCAGCAUUGGGGAAUAUUGCACAAUGGGCGCAAGCCUGAUGCAGCCAUGCCGCGUGUAUGAAGAAGGCCUUCGGGUUGUAAAGUACUUUCAGCGGGGAGGAAGGUGCUGAGGUUAAUAAGCUCAGCAAUUGACGUUACCCGCAGAAGAAGCACCGGCUAACUCCGUGCCAGCCGCCGCAGUAA
rnacentral:rRNA from 1 species